GAUUAAGUUAUUAAGGGCGCACGGUGGAUGCCUUGGCACUAGAAGCCGACGAAGGACGUUACUAACGACGAUAUGCUUUGGGGAGCUGUAAGUAAGCUUUGAUCCAGAGAUUUCCGAAUGGGGAAACCCAGCACGAGUUAUGUCGUGUUAUCGAUAUGUGAAUACAUAGCAUAUCUGAAGGCAGACGCGGAGAACUGAAACAUCUUAGUACCCGCAGGAAGAGAAAGAAAAAUCGAUUCCCUGAGUAGCGGCGAGCGAAACGGGAAGAGCCCAAACCAACGAGCUUGCUUGUUGGGGUUGUAGGACACUCUAUACGGAGUUACAAAGGACGACAUUAGACGAAUCAUCUGGAAAGAUGAAUCAAAGAAGGUAAUAAUCCUGUAGUCGAAAAUGUUGUCUCUCUUGAGUGGAUCCUGAGUACGGCGGAGCACGUGAAAUUCCGUCGGAAUCUGGGAGGACCAUCUCCCAAGGCUAAAUACUCUCUAGUGACCGAUAGUGAACCAGUACCGUGAGGGAAAGGUGAAAAGCACCCCGGAAGGGGAGUGAAAUAGAACCUGAAACCGUGUGCUUACAAGUAGUCAGAGCCCGUUAAUGGGUGAUGGCGUGCCUUUUGUAGAAUGAACCGGCGAGUUACGAUUUGAUGCAAGGUUAAGCAGUAAAUGUGGAGCCGUAGCGAAAGCGAGUCUGAAUAGGGCGUUUAGUAUUUGGUCGUAGACCCGAAACCAGGUGAUCUACCCUUGGUCAGGUUGAAGUUCAGGUAACACUGAAUGGAGGACCGAACCGACUUACGUUGAAAAGUGAGCGGAUGAACUGAGGGUAGCGGAGAAAUUCCAAUCGAACCUGGAGAUAGCUGGUUCUCUCCGAAAUAGCUUUAGGGCUAGCCUCAAGUGAUGAUUAUUGGAGGUAGAGCACU
rnacentral:rRNA from 1 species